UACGUAGGUCCCGAGCGUUGUCCGGAUUUAUUGGGCGUAAGGCGAGCGCAGGUGGUUUAUUAAGUCUGGUGUAAAAGGCAGUGGCUCAACCAUUGUAUGCAUUGGAAACUGGUAGACUUGAGUGCAGGAGAGGAGAGUGGAAUUCCAUGUGUAGCGGUGAAAUGCGUAGAUAUAUGGAGGAACACCGGUGGCGAAAGCAGCUCUCUGGCCUGUAACUGACACUGAGGCUCGAAAGCGUGGGGAGCAAACAGG
rnacentral:rRNA from 1 species